rnacentral:rRNA from 1 species
GAUGAACGCUGGCGGCGUGCCUAAUACAUGCAAGUCGAGCGAACGGACGAGAAGCUUGCUUCUCUGAUGUUAGCGGCGGACGGGUGAGUAACACGUGGAUAACCUACCUAUAAGACUGGGAUAACUUCGGGAAACCGGAGCUAAUACCGGAUAAUAUUUUGAACCGCAUGGUUCAAAAGUGAAAGACGGUCUUGCUGUCACUUAUAGAUGGAUCCGUGCUGCAUUAGCUAGUUGGUAGGGUAACGGCUUACCAAGGCAACGAUGCAUAGCCGACCUGAGAGGGUGAUCGGCCACACUGGAACUGAGACACGGUCCAGACUCCUACGGGAGGCAGCAGUAGGGAAUCUUCCGCAAUGGGCGAAAGCCUGACGGAGCAACGCCGCGUGAGUGAUGAAGGUCUUCGGAUCGUAAAACUCUGUUAUUAGGGAAGAACAUAUGUGUAAGUAACUGUGCACAUCUUGACGGUACCUAAUCAGAAAGCCACGGCUAACUACGUG